CUCUUCUCUUCUCUUAUUGAUGAAACACCUUCGUUAUGGAGUAGUAUGUGGUAUAUAGAUGUGGAAAUGAAAUGAUGAUGAGAAGGAAUGGAUCAGUGGUUGGCGUGGUGGUAGUGGUGGUAGGAGGAGACGGUGGCGGCAUAGGCGGCGUUGUUGUAGGAGUGGUGGUGGGGGUGGGGGUGGUAAGGAGAAGGAACCUGGUCGUGGAGGGAGGCGUGGGGGACGGGGGUGGAGGCGAAGAUGUGGUCGGAGGGGGAAGGGCCCUCGUUGGAGAGGCCCUGCAUCCGCUUCACGUAGAGGCGAUACUUCUGGAGGUGGCUGGCGACGUUCUCCCGGGUGAGGCCCUCCACGUUCAUCAGCUGCAUGAUCGUCUUGGGCACCGCGUUCUUCAUCCCCAGGUGCGCCACCACCUCCACGAACCUCUUGUGCAGCUGCGGCGUCCACACCAGCCGCGCCCUCUUGCUGCUGCUGUUGUUGGUGUUCCCGUUCCCCCCAUCCGCGCCUCCCCCUGACUCCGCCUCGUCCGCUCCCGUUCCCGCUCCCUUCGACGCGAACGCCGGGAACGAGCUCGACGACGACGACGACGCGCGCCGCAACCGGGACACCGUCGCCGCCGACGCGCGGUGCACGUCGAGCAGCGUGCGCCCGGGCUCCGGCG
rnacentral:lncRNA from 1 species